rnacentral:rRNA from 1 species
CCUACAGGUGGCAGCAGUGGGGAAUAUUGGACAAUGGGGGGAACCCUGAUCCAGCCAUGCCGCGUGUGUGAAGAAGGCCCUCGGGUUGUAAAGCACUUUCAGUGAGGAAGAACGCCUGGUGGUUAAUACCCAUCAGGAAAGACAUCACUCACAGAAGAAGCACCGGCUAACUCCGUGCCAGCAGCCGCGGUAAUACGGAGGGUGCGAGCGUUAAUCGGAAUUACUGGGCGUAAAGCGCGCGUAGGUGGCUUGAUAAGCCGGUUGUGAAAGCCCCGGGCUCAACCUGGGAACGGCAUCCGGAACUGUCAAGCUAGAGUGCAGGAGAGGAAGGUAGAAUUCCCGGUGUAGCGGUGAAAUGCGUAGAGAUCGGGAGGAAUACCAGUGGCGAAGGCGGCCUUCUGGACUGACACUGACACUGAGGUGCGAAAGCGUGGGUAGCAAACAGGAUUAGAUACCCUAGUAGUC